rnacentral:rRNA from 1 species
UACGGAGGGGGCAAGCGUUGUUCGGAAUUACUGGGCGUAAAGGGCGCGCAGGCGGCUGCUCAAGUCAGGCGUGAAAGGCCUGGGCUCAACCCGGGAAUUGCGCUUGAGACUGGGCUGGCUUGAGUGCGGGAGAGGAUGGUGGAAUUCCCAGUGUAGAGGUGAAAUGCGUAGAUAUCGGGAGGAACACCAGUGGCGAAGGCGGCUACCUGGCCCAUUCUUGACGCUGAGGCGCGAAAGCUAGGGGAGCGAACGGG